rnacentral:misc_RNA from 1 species
AGGUUUAGAUAUUUUGUGUAUGUGUUUGGUUUUGUUGGUUUUGGAUAGGUGGUUUUUUGUCGUUUUUUUCGGUGGGUCGUUUUGUUUUAGGAGGGGUAUGUUUCGUUAUGUGUCGGGAAUUAGGAUUUGGUGUAGAGAGUUUUUUAUCGUAGGAAAUGGGUUGUUGUUAGAAGGGCGGUUAUUUUUUGAUUUAUUAUAUAAUGUGUUUUUGGGGAAUCGGAUGUUA